rnacentral:rRNA from 1 species
GCAUGGCCGUUCUUAGUUGGUUGGAGCGAUUUGUCUGGUUAAUUCCGAUAACGAACGAGACUCUAGCCUAUUAAUUAGGUGCGUGGUUCUCCGCACCUUGCACCCUUCUUAGAGGAACAAGUGGCUCUUAGCCGCACAAAACAGAGCAAUACCAGCCCUCAUAU